UGGCAGAUGGUAGAUCAUCAAUGCAGAAUUUUGGGUUGUUCUUUCUUUAAGGCUGUUUAUAGCCUGUGUUUGCAUUUUUCGUGAUGCGCAGAAGGUGGUUAAGGAUUCGUCGAGAGAUUCUAAUGGAGUUCGCCGGAAUGCUUUGGUGCUAUCCGGAAGCAAAAGACCGUCGUCGGGGUCUUUUUGGAGCAGUGAUGAUCGUCGAUUUAGCAAUGCCAAAAGAAUGAGAGUGGGUGUGUUCUGCGGGUGUUUGCAUUUUUCCUGAUGCGCAGAAGGUGGUGAAGGAUUCGUCUAGAGAUUCUAAUGGAGUUCGCCGGAAUGCUUUGGUGCUAUCCGGAAGCAAAAGACCGUCGUCGGAGUCUUUUCGGAGCAGUGAUGAUCGUCGAUUUAGCAAUGCCAAUUCUUCCUCAUGCUCUUCGUCAUAUGUUCUCCAUCUGUUUUCCCCCAGCCAUUUCUCCGCCUACAAUCGGAAAAUUCCAGUUAACUAAUUUUUGCAAGCCUAGGUUGAUUCGCGUGCUCGUCUACGGUUGCGAGUACAGAAACCUCUGUAUUAAUGAGUCAACUCAGCCGUAGAAGCAAUUGAUUGAGAAAUUUAUAAAAUGGCGAAGCCUCAAGUAACUAUCACUCUCGGCCGCUCCGGUCAGAAGGUGGUGAAGGAUUCGUCGAGAGAUUCUAAUGUAGUUCGCCGGAAUGCUUUGGUGCUAUCCGGAGGCAAAAGACCGUCGUCGGAGUCUUUUCGGAGCAGUGAUGUUCGUCGAUUUAGCAAUGCCAAAAGAAUGAGAGUGGGUGUGUUCUGCGGGUGUUUGCAUUUUUCGUGAUGCGCAGAAGGUGGUGAAGGAUUCGUCGAGAGAUUCUAAUGGAGUUCGCCGGAAUGCUUUGGUGCUAUCCGGAAGCAAAAGACCGUCGUCGGAGUCUUUUCGGAGCAGUGAUGAUCGUCGAUUUUGCAAUGCCAAAAGAAUGAGAGUGGGUGUGAGUGCACGGAGCUACGGGUACAACAGCCGUUUAGAUGAUUGAACAGAUCUUCGCCUGAAACUAACACGCAAGAGAAUGUCAAAGCAUAUAGAGCUCGAAAACGAGAGGCGUAAAAAGAUGGAACUACAUGACAAGGCAUCAAGAGCUACACCACCUUCUAGAAGGGCUGCUGAAACACAACCGAUAGGUUCAACGAUUAAAAAUUCUUAUGCUUCAUGGAAUUCAAAUGCAGCGAAAACGAGAUCCCCCGAAAGAAUUCCGAAAUAUUCUGGUGGAUUUUCUAACAACCCCAUGAAUUCUAUUGGUCAACUGCCUCAUGUACCAUCAAUUAGGCCGAUAGAUGCUUCAAGAGAAGAGCAUUUGUCGAUGAGGGAUGCCUUGGAAUCUUCUAGGCCAGAUUUACCUAUAUUCACCACUCCGAGAGGUUUUCUGGAUAAUGGCAAGAUGGUCACCGAUCUUCCUCCAGCAACAGGUGGCAUGUCCAGACCUAUUUACCAGGUGAAAGCGAUGAGGCAACUACAACUUAGAAAAUUGAGGCGUGUGGCAAACAAGCAAAUGUGCCGCAAACCUCUGUUGCUGAAUUUAUGAUCUGCUUGGGGGGUCUCGUGUGCUCAUCAUAUUACUAAGUUAACCCCAUUUUACAUAGUCUGGCCUUUGUGUGAGCAUCAUUAUUCAAUCACUCAACAAUUCGUGCGGGGGUGUUCUUCACGGGGCGCACAAAGCCGGAGAAGUAUUUGCGGAUGAAGAAGAAAAUAUCUGAUUUAACACAGGAAAAAUUUAUCGUCGUCCUCAUCUUCCACCUCCAAUCUUUUUAAAUCCCACAGUUACUUUCGCAUGUUGCUUUAUGCAGAUAAUAAUUGAUUUCAGUUAUGAUUUCAGAACGCAUUUUCCGUAAGCAUGAUGCUCUUUUGUUUUUAUUGCAUGCCACACAUCCAAUUAAAAGCAGGCAAUUAAUAGCUUCAAGCAAUAGGACCGUGAAAGAAUGAGCCCUAAAAUGGGGAAAAUUGACAUUCAUUAUCAGGGUCAGCCAUGAUGCCUCCUUAAUGCAUCAUUCUAAACUUACAUUGCCAGCUCAAGGUGAUCUUACGAGGGAAAGUAUUUUUAAGUGCAUCGUUGAUAUUUCCUCGAAAGUGUUCUUCUAUUUGGUUUAUUGUUUUUUGUUUAUUGUUUGGUACAAAUUGCUAUAGAUGGGUGGUUCUUUUGACGCUAAUAUGCUGGAUUUUUUUUAUAGGCUCCGUUGUUUCAAUUCUUGAUAAUUUGGAACCAUUGCUCCUAAUCAAAACGACUGUUAGAUUUCUUAGGGCCUCGUUUGGGAACAUUCGAUAGAGCUUCAUUAUAUUGUCUAUCAUGCCUAAUCAUGAUUGCCAAGCAAGGCUUAAGAGUACAAAAUCAUCAUUUUUGUUAAUCCUUGCAGCUAAAAGAAAAGUUGGAGAAACGUCGAUUAAUGAAAUCAGCUCGAGAUCCCACAAAAUUAUUACAUUGGGACAAUGCGAGCACUCUUACAACUGCUGUGGUGUGAAAUUUAUCUAACAACAAAAAAAUAAAGUUGGGACUGUGCUAUUUAUGCUCACUGUUACGCGCAGCUUUCCGAUUGUCGACUUCGGCAAUGCUUCGAUUGCUUCUUCGGGUUUCGGAAAUUUGUUCUGAUGAAUGAUGAUGGUGGAUUUGGUCAUAGAGACUGACAAGAAAUGCGAAGAACUCAUUUUCGAUUUUCUCAAACUACAGUUUUGGAUUUCUCGGUAGUAGUGCUAGUAACCCUCCACCGGAAUGGAUCGAGUAGCGGAUCGAGGUCUUGCCCGGGUUUUUGGAAGUUGUACGAGGGCCUAUGAACGAUGUUAAAUAUUUUGGGUUUUUCCUUUUUUGUGAUGUAAUAUUAAACCUUCGUAUUUCCCUUUUCGUAUCUUUUGAACUCAUUUUCGGUAUGGAUCAUGCUUAUUAUAAAAAGGUUUGUUUGGUAAUUUCAU